rnacentral:rRNA from 1 species
GACGAACGCUGGCGGCGUGCUUAACACAUGCAAGUCGAGCGGAAAGGCCACUUCGGUGGUACUCGAGCGGCGAACGGGUGAGUAACACGUGAGUAAUCUGCCCCUGGCUUCGGGAUAGCCACCGGAAACGGUGAUUAAUACCGGAUAUGACCAUUGCACGCCUGUGUGGUGGUGGAAAGUUUUUUCGGCCAGGGAUGUGCGCGCGGCCUAUCAGCUUGAUGGUGAGGUAAUGGCUCACCAUGGCUUCGACGGGUAGCCGGCCUGAGAGGGUGACCGGUCACACUGGGACUGAGACACGGCCCAGACUCCUACGGGAGGCAGCGGUGGGGAAUAUUGGACAACGGGCGGAAGCCUGAUCCAGCAACGCCGCGUGAGGGAUGACGGCCUUCGGGUUGUAAACCUCUUUCGCCUGUGACGAAGCGCAAGUGACGGUAACAGGUAAAGAAGCACCGGCCAACUACGUGCCAGCAGCCGCCGUAACAC